UUGUCCAAAACAGACAGGCCCAUCCACAGGAAUACCCAGCUGCCACAUGCUACAGAAAAGGCCACCUCAUUAACCCACAUAAAGUGGCGCUUUGAGGCCUGG